UACGUAGGUGGCAAGCGUUGUCCGGAUUUAUUGGGGUUAAAGGGCGCGUAGGCGGCCUUCUAAGUCGAACGUGAAAUCCCUGGGCUCAACCCAGGAACUGCGUCCGAUACUGGAAGGCUUGAAUCCGGGAGAGGGAUGCGGAAUUCCAGGUGUAGCGGUGAAAUGCGUAGAUAUCUGGAGGAACACCGGUGGCGAAGGCGGCAUCCUGGACCGGUAUUGACGCUGAGGCGCGAAAGCCAGGGGAGCAAACGGG
rnacentral:rRNA from 1 species